rnacentral:tRNA from 1 species
GUGGUUAAGACACCAGGCUAGUAACCUGAAGGUCAAUGGUUCGAGCCUGG